CCUGUAUUGAAUAGUGUACAGUAUUGAGGACAUUACAGCUAAGAUGAAUGACCUUUUCUUGGCUCUCCUUGUAGGCAUUUGAAUUGACCUUUUGGGGAGUUGAGCUUCAGUGGAUAUGCACAGCUGAGAGAUCUGAAGAUAGUCUUUGAAGCUAUAGUAGUGUCACAGCCGCAAGAUUUCACCACAAGAGGCAUAAUUGAGAGGAGCACUAGUGAUAAGAGUUGGGAAAUGAAUAGUGUGGGAGAAGAUCACCUGAGUUUCAGACUUACCAAGACCAUCUUCAGCACUGACUCCCAAGAAGGAGUAUGUUUUAAAAUGUGUAUGUAGUAUGUUUUAAAUUUAUAAAUUGCUGGAAGAUGUACAUGGUCAUCUUCUACCAGCUUUUAGUUGGAAAACAUAAUCCUUCUUGUGCAAUAUAAUAUGAUUUAAAUAAAAACCAACAAACAGAAAAGAGUUGAAGUUGU
rnacentral:lncRNA from 1 species